GCGUCUGUAGCUCAGCUGGAUAGAGCAAUGCCCUUCUAAGGCAUCGGUCACACGUUCGAAUCGUGUCAGGCGUGCCA
rnacentral:tRNA from 2 species